GGAUCCUUAAUCCACUGAGUGAGGCCAGGGAUGAAACCCGCAUCCUCAUGGACACUAUGUUGGGUUCUUACCCCACUGAGCCACAGUGGAAUUCCACAAGGAUGGCUUAAAGCAGAAAAUGUUAAUAAAACCAGUAGAAACGGGGUCAAAGAUCUUAAAGUGAAGGUGGAUCUGAUGGUGUGGAAUCUUACCAAGAUGCUGCUUUUCUUUCCAUAAAGGAAAAGCUAAAAUGGAAAUCUUCCCAUUUGAACUUCAAACUAGUUUUAAAUACUUUAGGGGAAAAAAAUCUACACACACGACAAACCUCCCACUUAGACACCCUCCCACUGGCUGGUAAUUCUCUCUGAAUAGUUUGUGGGCAGCACCCCGGCAGUCGGGACAUCAUUGUGCUACUCUCCCUGUCUCUGGGGACAUUCAAAAUACGCACGUAUGACGGCAGGACUCAUCUUUGUGGGAUCCUUUCCCUCCAAGUGGCGACUUAGAGACACUGUGAGGUGGAAUUACUCUGGAGGAACCCAGAAAUGCAAACAUUUAUGGAAUUACUAGGCACAAAUUACUUGGCAAGGCAAAUUGGAGCAAUUAGCCAACCUUUGUGACGAAGGAAUGUUGAGCGUGAAACAACUUGAGAAUGGAAUAAAAAUGGACCUAUUAUUCCUUGACUCAAUUAAGUGCACAUAAUAUAAUUCAAUAUGCUUUUGCCAAACCAUAUAUUUAUCUGUGCUGUGUGAGCGUGAGGGUGAGGGUGGGGCUGCUUCUAAGAGCGAUCCAUUCACACCAGCCCAGCUCCUCCCCCACCUUGGAAGGGAAGAAACUAGUGGUUCCUUCAAACUGGAUGAGAACGAGCCCCGUUGCAUAAUAUCUUGUACACAAGAAAAAUGAUGCCAGUGACACUGAGUUCCUUUUUGUAAUGGUUACAGAUUUCUAUAGGAAUUAGUGAUGCAGAAACAAUGUGUGACUUUUUUUCCUCCCUCCAGAUAAGCCCAAAUUAUAGACGUACUCUUCUCUGUAUUCGCCCAGAUGGUAAACUAGACUCAUCGGUUGGAAAGGAGCUUUAAAAUUGGCACACAGUUAGCAUUUCUGUUCUACUCAAAUAAAAAUAUCAAGAGGCCUGUCAAUAAUUUUAUACUUCCAAGGACCAGGAAACCCUUUUCUACUUUGUCUAUCCAUGUUGUUUAAAAAAUGUAACCCACGUGGCUAUCAUUAAGGACCAUCGUCUAGGGGAUGAAUAAAUAACCUGUGACUCGGGGCCACCAUCAGAGCUUGAAGGGACUGGAUGGGUGAUCUGGGACACACUUCUCCCCUGCAGGUCUGGCAGACCCUCAUCUUCGGACUCCUUGUCCACGCCUGGCCCCCAAAUCUCUCAGUUUCGAGUAUGUGCCCAAAAUGGCACCAGAGAGCUGGCCGCAGGCUGCACGGCCAUCCCAGCCCCACCUCGUAGUUCCAAAGAGACUUCUUUGUGGAAUUACUUUCUUCUGUCACCUCUUACUCUGUCUCUUUUGACCUCUACAUUUUUUUUUUCUUUGAGAGUCAUCUUUGCUAUAAUGCAAAUACUUGCUUUUAUUCCACAAACACAUUUUUCUGAUUCCUGGAAUAUACUAGUUGGCAGUGUCUUGGCAUUUAUGUGUAUAAAAUUUCAACUUUGAAUAUUUUCUAUGUUAGGACUCUUUUUUUGGGGGGGGUAACUGCUAAAUUUUGAAAUAAUUUCAGAAUUUCCAAAAAGCUGCAUGAAUCGUACAAAGAAUUCCUCCAUAGCCUUUACCCAGAUUCUCCAGUGGUUAACAUUUCCUCACUUGCUUCAUCAUUCCGUCUCUGUGUAGAUACAGAUUUUCUGGGUUUUUUGUCUGAGCCAUUUGAGAGGAAGCUGUAGCAUGAUGUCUCUUUACUCCUCCAUCCUGCCGUGUGUCUCUUACUAUGAAAAGUAUUGCACUUCAGUGCUGAAAAAGGAAAAAGCAGAUAAGCAAAAAGAAGGAAAGUAAAAUCCAUCUGGAAUCUUGCUACCCAGAAAUAAACAUUUUGCUGGAUAUUCUUUCAGUCCUUUUCUUUGCAUCUAUUCGAAUUUUUCACCCAAAUGUGACACUCUACAUACACUGUUAAGCCCGGCUGUUAGAGGCUACAUAGCACAGCAGGAGAGCCCUGGUUCUGGAGUCAGCCUGGGCUCCAAUCCUGGGGGGUACCACUUACUAUCUGGAUUCACUUCCUGCGGCUGCUGGAACAAAUGACCACAAAUGAGGUGGCUUAAAACAUCAGACAUUUAUUCUUGCCUCGUUCAACAGGCCAGAAGUCUGAAAUCGAAGUGUCAGCAGGGCUGGUUCCUCCUGGAGCUCUGAGGGAGAAUCUGUCCCCAGAUUUGGGUGGCUGCCAGCAACCCUUGGUCUCCUUCAGCGUGAGGACACCUCCAUCCCUGCCUCUACCCUCACAUGGACUCUAUCCCGUGUCUGUGCGUCUCAGAUCACUCUCUUUUCUCAUUUUUGAACACUCAGGUAGACGGUAAACCACAGCAACCGUGGCAGGAAAACAGCCCACCACAAAUAAAAGCCUGAAGCUCCAGCUGACACAUCUUAAUGAGAAAUUGCUCAGCAGUUCAAACAUUCUGGCUCAAAGCCUUCACCGCAUGUUGAGGGACGGAGAAGCCAUUUUUCCGGGGCAACCCUCCGGCCACAGGGGGCUGUGACCAAAAAUCCAAGUUGAACUUGACUGUCCAUGAAGGAACAAUAUUCCUCCUAAGUAAAAGUUGCUGUUAUUACAUGGAUGGAUUUGUCACUGAAAUGUUUUUUGUAAACAUUUGAAGCCGGGCUUUGGAAAUUGCAGAGUGAAUUGCUGCUACCCCAGAAAGGUCCAGCCUCAGACAGACCAGUGGAAGAGUCAUCGUGAUCAAGCCUUUGGGAAAUAAACCUCGAGGAAAAUGCUUGCACUUUCGUACAGCCCAACUGACUCUAAGAUUGUAGUAGGGUUUCCAUCCAGAGACACAAAGGAGAAUCAGGGAUUGCCAUUUGAUCAAACCGGCUUUGACAAAAUGCACUAGGAAGCAUAAACACACAAGAUACCCCCCACCCCGUACUGGCUGCAUCACUAUUGAACCACCUGCCUCGUUGCCUGGACUACCUCUUCUGGAUGGGCCUGUCAAACUGAACCUCAGCAGAGCUAGGCCUGGGGGGACUUCCCAUCCGCCUCAGCCAGAAGGUCCCACAGCAGGCAUCUCUACACAGUCAUAGAAGCCUCUGACGAGGUUGGAUGGAGAGCACAGAGAAAACUCCAGAUAAUCAGACGCACUGAAACUGCUACCACGACACUGGAGUUGCAGGAUGACUCACCCUGGGCUGCUGCAGGAAACUCCUCUGGUCGCUGCCCUGGAUCCUCAACGGUAAAGGGUCCCUGGAAAACUGUGCUUGGACUGCCACCUAGUGGUUACAAAAAGCAAGACUCGGUCUGGGCAGGAUUCUGCUUCCCCAGUCACACCCACCACAGUUAUCACCCAGAAUCAGCAUCUCCUCAAAGAAAUUUUAGAAGAUGAAAAUUUUAUUCACAGAUUCACAACCUAAUUCCCUAUUUUAAUUUGGUUUAAUUAUAUCAUCCACCUAAUACACUGCAACACUGAGAUUCAAGGUAGGGGCAAAAGCACCAGCCUAGGGAGUCUAAAGGCUCUUUUGAGUCACUAGCUCACUGUUCAACUUCGGGGAAGUGGCUUGAACCUUCCAUUUUCUCUUAGGAAAAUGGACAUUAACAAUAUGCAGAGUUUAGGCGGCUGCGAGGUCUGUGCAUGAAGCCCCUUUAUAAACUGUAUGAUGUUCUCCCCUUUCUAGCUUCCUGCUCCUGUUUCCCUGGGAUUCUGCACCCCGAUGUCCACACCCACCCUUCAGUUAAACCAGUCAGCCAAACCCCUGUCCCCCUUCCCCUUCCCCGGGAAGCAGAGGCCUCCUCUUCUUUCGUAGUGCUGGAAAUAGAACACAGAAACCAAACCAAACCAAAACAAAACAAAAAACAACAGCCAAAAAAGGAAAGAUCCAGCCCAGGAUGUGCUCAUAGAACAGUUAACAAUGAAAAGAGUCAAGGGAGACUUCUGCCAUCGACAGCCUGCACUCACCAGGAGAAAAUUCACUCAGAGGACAAAACACUGUGGCAGGUUGUCACCAGAGUGGCGGUGCUGAGGCUGCACCUAGUGACGGCACCCCACACGGAGACAGAGGGAUCUGCUUGUUCCUCAGCCUCAGCCCUGGCCCUGGGCCCUCCUGCCUGAACUGGGUAGAGAUGUCCUCAGAACAACUUCCUGCCCCGCUCAGGGCCCCUCUGAUCUCUGGAAUUCACCAGGGAUCCCACAUUCCACACGCAGGUCUGGGCUCCCGUAGCUCAGGCCCCACCUCACGUCUCUGUGGGGCUGAUUGCGGCUCACUGGGUGUCCCGCGUCCCCAGCUGACUCACAGAGAUUUCCAACCUUGCAUGAUGAUGCACCCGUAUCUGUAACUUCAUUUUAAGCACACACCUCACUAUGAAUGUUUAUUUCCAUAGAAAGAGGCACUCCUGUAUUAAUAUACAGUGUAUGCUCUAGACAUUUCAAAGGAUGAGAAAUUAAAAUAUAAUGCAUGUAUGCAUGUAACGCCUAUGCCCACAAGUAGGUGCGUCCCCUUUUGGGCCUGGGACCUUUCUCUGACUGGUUAGAGCUGUGGUUGGGGCACAUGGAGCUUGUAUGGGGACCCUCUCCUGAAGCCCACCAUGGAUUCAGAGACAGAGGUGAUGUUUGCUAGGAGGGGAGUCAGGUGUGAGGAAGAAGCAUGAUUCUCUUCUCAAAUCACACCUUCCUCCUGGGCGUCUGAUCAGCCAACAGCCACACGUCACGAGAACCUGGGACGCAGAGGCCACUAGCUUUCUUGUCCUGUGUUACAGGAUCUUGCGAUUCUCUGAGACGACUCCUGUCAUGAUUUUCUGAAGAAGAGAGGAGCAGUUCUCCAGCAGCUCUACGGGUUCCUAUAUGUACAUUGUACCAUUCCAUCCCCAAAGCCAUCCUGAGGGACAGGCGUGUGUUCCCUGCUGCAGAAGGAAGCUGAGGCCAGGAGAGGAUAAGUCAUGCCCUCAGGCCACCUGUCUCCUCAGAAGUAGAGUCUGCCUAUUUGUAAAGCCUCAGACUAAGCCCGCAGUACGAGGCAGGGCCUGGCUAUGCAUGAACAUGGAACUGGACAUCCUUGGCCCAAACUCCACUGGCAGUAGAGAGGACUCUUCUUACAGUGUCCUCUACCUUAAAAGCAAAGAUUUGUUCUGUACUUAGUCUCCUGUGGUUUUCCAUGUGGCUGGUUAUAAGGGUCAUUACUAAGGCUCGUCUACUCCCCAUCUUCCCCACUAAUCUACUAUCAAAGAACUAGAGGUUCCCACCUUUAGAUUUUAUUUUUUUAUGUUAUUUAUUUAUUUCUUCUUUUUAUAGCCACACCUGCAGCAUAUGGAAGUUCCCCGGGCCAGGGGUAAAAUCGGAGCU